CGAUGGGCUGGUUCACCGCCACACACGCCGCGUUGCUGGCGGCGAUCGAGCAUGCCGCAGGCAAUGGGUUCGACGCCCACGCCCAUCGGC
rnacentral:tRNA from 1 species